UCCCAAGUAGCUGGGACCACAGACGUGCACCACCAUGCCUGGCAACUUUUCACGUUUGUUUUAUUUUUUGUAGAGACAGGGUCUCCCUAUAUUGUUCAGGCUGGUCUUGAACUUCUGGGCUCAGGGGACCCUCCCGUUUUGGCCUCCCAAAAUGUUGUGUUGGCAGAAACUUUUAUUGAAGUAUAAUUUACUUUACAGAAAGGGGUGCCUGAGUGGUUCACUAAAUUUUUCACAAACUGAAUGCAUCUGUUUAAGCCUCACCAGACUGAGAAACCAACCAACCAACAUUAUCAGCACUGAGUAGCCCCCUAAUGCCCCCUUCUGGUCCAUGCCCAUGCCCACCCCCACCCCAGGCUGACAGCAUACUGACAUCUAACCGUAUGGGCUGGAGUUUCUAGUUUCUGUGCGCUGUAUAGAGAGGACACACGGGAUGUGUACCUAUGUUGUGUCAUCUCUUGUCUCUGGCGUCAUUGGCUUGGUGUUACCUUGGGAGGUGUCCCUGUUGCUGUGUCACUGUAUAUCAUGCAUUCUCAUGCCUGUGUUGUAUUGGCUGGGACUGUUUUUAUCGAAGGGAGCUUGGACACUCUGCAUGAGCCACUGUGCCCGGUCUUGUUGGUGACAUUUUGAAGAAACAUAUUCUUGUACAUUGAUGGUGGGACACCAUUCUCAUGGGGGGCAAUUGGCAUGCCUAUCAAAAUUAGAAAUGGUUCUAGUUACUCAGUAGGCUGAGGCAGGAGGAUCGCUUGAGCCCAGGAGGUUGAGGCUGCAGUGAGCCGUGAUCAUGCCACUGCACUCCAGCCUGAAUGACAAAGCAAAACCCCAUCUCUUUAAAAGAAAAAGGGGGUGGGGAGGGGGAAUGUCCUCAGACCCAGUAAUUCCACCCCUAGGAAUCCAGUUUACACACACAAGAAAUAAAAGAUAAAUGUACAAGGUUAGUCACUGCACAGUGAGAUAGCAAAAGAUUAGAAAGAACCCAAGUGUUUAUUGAUCUGGGGUUUAUUCCUUUAUAGCCCAACUAUAUGAUGGAACACUAUAAUGUUGUAAAAAUGGAUUAAGAGUUCUUUAUGAAUUGGUAUGGAAACAUUGCCAAGAUAUGGAAGCCAAAUGCAGAAAAAUGUACGUGGUAUGCUAUUAUCUAUGUGAAAAAGGCAUUACCAUUCUCUGGAAGGAUAAAUACAGAUUUGAGAAUGGUGGAUAUCUGGGGUGAGAGGUAUCCUUUUCACUGUACUUUAAAAAUUUUGAUAUUUUGGUGUUUGCCUAUUCAAAAAAUGGUUAAAAUCAGUUGCCACCAAUUAAAAAUUAGGAGAAUGCAUAUAAAUAACUGAAUUUCCUGUUUGCUUGUUGCCUUAAGAAUGUGAGUACACUGUUUUUAGUGCCAGAUAUUCUAAUUUAAAACAAUGAGCUAAAUAAAGUCAAGUUGCUUUGGGGGGUCCUGCUCUCCAGGCUUUUCUUAUAC
rnacentral:lncRNA from 1 species